rnacentral:rRNA from 1 species
GACGAACGCUGGCGGCGUGCCUAACACAUGCAAGUCGAACGAAGUAUGUUUUUCGGAAUAUACUUAGUGGCGGACGGGUGAGUAACGCGUGAACAAUCUGCCCUGUACAAAGGAAUAGCCUCGGGAAACCGGGAUUAAAACCGUAUGAAACUUGAGUAUCACAUGAUACAUAAGUCAAAUCGAAUAAGAGGUAUGGGAUGAGUUCGCGUCUGAUUAGCUAGUUGGUAGGGUAAAGGCCUACCAAGGCGACGAUCAGUAGCCGGCCUGAGAGGGUGAACGGCCACACUGGAACUGAGACACGGUCCAGACUCCUACGGGAGGCAGCAGUGGGGAAUAUUGCACAAUGGGGGGAAACCCUGAUGCAGCGACGCCGCGUGAGUGAAGAAGGUCUUCGGAUCGUAAAACUCUGUCCUUGGUGAAGAAAAAAAUGACGGUAGCCAAGGAGGAAGCCCCGGCUAACUACGUGCCAGCAGCCGCGGU